rnacentral:SRP_RNA from 1 species
GCUGGGCUUUGUUGCGUGAGCCUGUAACCCAAGUGGGAGCAUUAAGAUGGUGGAACAGUUGGCCAUUCCCUGAAUGCUGGGCCUUGGUUGCUAUUUACUGGCUUGCCCGUUCCAAGUGGUGAGUUGUGCUGUGGGUUCUCUGCGAAGGUAGAGGCUUCUUUGGUCCUUAGAUUUGGAGGGCACCGCGUGAGGCUGGCUUCACAGAGCAGCGAAAACCUCCUCCUCUCUGCAGUGGAAGGAUAACGGGCCGGUGCAUCCACUACCCAAUAACGCCUGACGGGCUGUUGAAAUUGAACCACCAUCUUU